AGUGACCCUUGUCAUGGACUCUAGCAGGGCAAGGGUUAAGAGGCAGGGCCAGGAAAAGUGCCCCACCCAGGGGAGGGACCGGUAUGAUAAAAGGCAAGCAGCUUGAGGGACAGAUCCUCCCUGCAUCCAAAGGCCUCCUCAGUCUGCAGUUCCAGCUCCAGCCCCUCACAGUGCUUUUCAAGCCAUGCUUCCUGUGCCCCCAGUGGGGCCCUGGCUGGGAUAUCAUCAUAUACUGUAAGUUUGCGAUGAGACACUACAGUAUAGAUGAUGUACUAGUCCGGGCACCCCCAGCUCUGGAGCCUGACAAGGAGGACAGGAGAGAUGCUGCAAGCCCAAGAAGCUCUCUGCUCAGCCUGUCACAACCUACUGACUGCCAGGGCACUUGGGAAUGGCAAGGAAACCGUUACCAUUACUGAGUUUAGUAAUGGUAAUGGUUCUCUUGCUAUACCCAGAAAACGUGCCAGGAAGAGAACUCAGGACCCUGAAGCAGACUACUGGAAGGGAGACUCCAGCUCAAACAAGGCAGGGGUGGGGGCGUGGGAUUGGGGGUAGGGGAGGGAAUAGAUACAUUUUCUCUUUCCUGUUGUAAAGAAAUAAAGAUAAGCCAGGCACAGUGGCUCACGCCUGUAAUCCCACCACUUUCAGAGGCCAAGGCAGGAGGAUUUCUUGAGCCCAGGAGUUUGAGACCAGCCUAGACAACAUAGUGAGACUCAGUCCCUAAUAUUAAAAAAUAAAAAUAAAUAAAUAAAAGGAAUAAAGAUGAGAACCAGAAUGCUUAUAUUUUAUUAGUAUCCAAGACUGGGG
rnacentral:lncRNA from 1 species